GCGGGGCCCAAUAGCCGGCAGGAAGCGGCCCGCCCUUCGCGUGCGGCCUUGGGGCCGGGGCGGGAGCCUGGCUGCGCGCUCGCACUUGACCUGCAUCCGGGUUUUCUUGUUCCGCGCAGGUUGGGACCUGGGACCUGGGACCCUUUGCUGCAGUACUUGCACCUGGAUGAAUAUCUCCUCGACCAGCAGAAUACAAGAAACUCUAAGGAACUAAAAAUAACUGCCCACAUGUGCAGUUGGGGCAAAGUAUGAACAAUGAGCAGGGUCUGAUGGGUGCCACAUGCAUGUGAGCAGAGGAGUUAAAAGCAACGUGUGUGCGGCGUUCUUUGCACAUAGCGUCCCUAAUGUCCUCAUCAGGCGUGCUCAAGGCAAAUCCUAGGAAGGAGGCAACGGACAAGGAUCCCCAUCACGUCCUUCUUACACGUGUUACUUCCCUGUAUCAGCCUAUCAGACAACCACAUCCGCUGAAAAUGACGACCUAGAUGGAAAGGGAAAGCUCAGGCCACCCACAGCUCCUUCUCUUUUUAUUUCUUUACUCAUCAAUAAGCUGAAGGCUGAGAAUGUUGGUAGGAUAUGUGUACACCCAUUAAGAAAUAAAAACAGUUGAGUUAGUUUUGUGUAGGAUUUCCAUUGUUCAGGUAAGAACACAAUACUUAUUCAUGUACAAGCAAUGAAAUACGAAUUGUGUCAUAUCAGUGAUUUCCUUAUUAGUUAGUGCUCUUAUAUUUGCGUUUAAAAUGUGUAUUGCAUAACAUAAAAAUGAAUGGUAAAAAAUGGUCCAUUUAAUGGCACUUUUUCUCACUUUUUGGGCCCCUGCACUUUCGUUUUGCACCGGGCCCUGGAUGUUAUGUAGCUGGCCCUGCAGAUACCUUAGUUUGGACUGAAAAGUCAUCUCCGCCUUUUCCUGAACUCCGGGUCCAGCUCAGCCCGGGCUCUGGGGCUGAGACACAGUGCCUGCUCUCCACCGCACCCAGGGCCAUGUCCACAGCUUCCGUCUCCCCUUCUGGGUUCUCUCGUUUCCUGCUUAGUCCUGGCCCCGUGAAAUUUCAUCACCAGUCCCUCAAUUGUAUUAACCAUCACACUUUAUAUUGUUUGUUUCGUUUUCUGACUCCUUUGCAUGGAGUUUCUCUUUUUUUCAUUGCUGUAUGUAUGUACUUAGCACAUGACAAGUGCUCAAAACACCACUUUUUCACUUUUUAUUAUGAAAAUUUCAGGCAUACACAAAAACAGAGAUGACAAUUUAAUGAAUCCUUGUGGACUAUUGCCGGCUUUGACUACACUAUCCUGCCAUUCUUGUUUCACCUCAACAAUUUUAGUCUUUCUCUUUCGUGUUGUUGGAUUCCUUCAAAUGCCUUGUAUCUCGGUGGACAACUCCCACUUAUGAAUGAAGAGCUAUAUUGCUUCCUGAAGAGAGUUGGGUGGGUUUCCUUUGCAGUUGGGUGGGUUUCCUUCGCAGUCGUGUGGGUUUGUUUAUUCAAAGGCUUACGGUCCCCUCCGUGGGAGGGGUAACUUUUGUCUCUGAGGAAGUGAACGGGGUCUCUCCAUCAGCUUCCCCUUCAGGUGUGUGAGUGGGGAGCUGGCAGGCUGCCUGGGGACGUAGGCAAAAAUAAGCAAUACUGACUCUAGGGGUAGGGAGCUUCAGUGUCUAUCAUGCCUGCACAGGGCUGUCUUUCCUUAUUUCUCCUCCUGGUUAUUCUAGAGGUCCAUUCUUUUCUUCAGCUCCAUCUUGACCCCGCCCCCCCCCUCCCCGCCGCAGUAUCCUUACCGUGGGCCCUCUACAGCCAAAUCACUUCCACUGUUUAGAGUAAUUCUUAGGGCUUCAACUGGGGCAUAGCUACUCUGUGCCUGUCGGCACGGCAAUCCCUCGGAUUGCUGCCCAGAGCACUCUUGUUCUUGAUACCUACUGACUUUAAGCCCAAAGCCGCUCUGGGAU